UUGUUGAUUGUCUUGUUUUAAUUGUUGUGUAAUUUUAUUUUGUUUAUUGAAGAAUCAUUUUGUUGUUGUAUAUUUGUGAUUUAAUUGUUUUUACUAUAGUUUAUUUGUACCGUAGGGGUAUGAUUUGUUAGUGUAUUUUUGAAAGCUGACUUUGUUUGUUGUACCUUGUGUAUCAGGGUUCAUUGAAUUUUAUUAUUUAUUUUUAUUUCCCGAUUUUAAAGGAGUUAAUGGUUUAUUUUAGUUAUUGUUUCAACAUUAUUAAUAAUGGGCUAUUGGCAAUGAGAUGUUAUUCGUCUUUAGUGGUCUCUGGUUUUUCAAGAAAUGAAUUUAAUUCAUGCUCUCUAUUUAAUUUUUACUUUUGAUUUAUUUGUUUUUAUUUGGUGUUAAGAUUAAGGGGGAUUAGCUCCUUGUUUUAUUUUUAUAAUUUUUGUUUUCUAUUUAGUUUUGUGGAUUUUAUGGUGAUUUUCGGUUUGAUUAUGUUAAAAUUUUAUUUAUUUUUUUGUUUAUUUGUUAUAAAUUUAAUUUGUUUAUUGGAAUGUUUCUUUUAAUUGUUUGGUUGGAUAGUAAUUAUUGUGUAAUUAGUAAAUUUUACUUUAUGUUGUUUUUAUUUAUGUUAUAUUUGUNNNNNNNNNNNNNNNNNNNNUGAAGGGCCGCGGUAUUUUGACCGUGCAAAGGUAGCAUAAUCAUUAGUUCUUUAAUUGUGAUCUGGUAUGAAUGGCUUGACGAGACAUGGACUGUCUUAAAUGAAUAUUUGAUUGAAUUUGGUCUUUGAGUUAAAAUUCUUAGAUGUUUUUAUGGGACGAGAAGACCCUAUAGAGUUUGACAUCUUAAUUUCUUUCUGUUAAUUUGUUUGUUUUGUUUUAUUAAGUGAUUUGGGUGUUUUGUUGGGGUGAUGGGAGGAAUUUAUUUAACUCCUCUUUAUUUUGUAUAUUUGUUUAUAAUUUAUUGAUCCAUUUAUGUUGAUUAUAAGAUUAAAUUACCUUAGGGAUAACAGCGUUAUCUUCCUUGAGAGUUCUUAUUGGCGGGGAGGUUUGCGACCUCGAUGUUGGAUUAAGGUUAAUUUUUGGUGUAGGAGCUGAAAGUGAUUGGGUCUGUUCGACCUUUAAAAUCUUACAUGAUCUGAGUUCAGACCGGCGUGAGCCAGGUUGGUUUCUAUCUAUAAUGUUGUUUUAUACCUUAGUACGAGAGGACCGGGUAU
rnacentral:rRNA from 1 species